AGUGAACGCUGGCGGUAGGCCUAACACAUGCAAGUCGAACGGGUGGCGGACGGGUGAGGAAUACAUCGGAAUCUACUCUUUCGGGGGGGAUAACGUAGGGAAACUUACGCUCAUACCGCAUACGAUUGGAUGCGCCGAUGUCUGAUUAGCGAGUGGGCGGGGUAAAGGCCCCCCAAGGAGACGAUCCGUCGCUGGUCUGGAAGGAUGAACAGCCACACUGGAACUUAGACACGUUCCAGACUCGUACGGUAGGCAGCAGGGGGUAAUAUUGGCACAUGGCCGCAAGACUGACCCAGCCAUACCGCCCGGGGUAAGAAGGCCUUCGGGUGGUAAAGCCUUUUUGUCGGGAAAGCGGUACCCAAAGACGAAGCCCCGGCUAACUCCGUGCCAGCAGCCGCGGUAAUAC
rnacentral:rRNA from 1 species